rnacentral:rRNA from 1 species
UACGUAGGGGGCAAGCGUUGUCCGGAUUUAUUGGGCGUAAAGCGCGUGUAGGCGGCCACGCAGGUCCGUUGUGAAAACUGGAGGCUCAACCUCCAGACGUCGACGGAAACCGUGUGGCUAGAGUCCGGAAGAGGAGAGUGGAAUUCCUGGUGUAGCGGUGAAAUGCGCAGAUAUCGGAAGGAACACCAGUGGCGAAAGCGGCUUCCUGGUCCAGCAUCGACGUUCAGGCACGAAAGCGUGGGGAGCAAACAGG